GUCGACGGUAAGGCCCUUUCGGGGGUACACGAGUGGCGAACGGGUGAGUAACACGUGGGUAAUCUGCCCUGCACUUCGGGAUAAGCCUGGGAAACCGGGUCUAAUACCGGAUAUGAGCUCCUGCCGCAUGGUGGGGGUUGGAAAGUUUUUCGGUGCAGGAUGAGUCCGCGGCCUAUCAGCUUGUUGGUGGGGUAAUGGCCUACCAAGGCGACGACGGGUAGCCGGCCUGAGAGGGUGAUCGGCCACACUGGGACUGAGACACGGCCCAGACUCCUACGGGAGGCAGCAGUGGGGAAUAUUGCACAAUGGGCGAAAGCCUGAUGCAGCGACGCCGCGUGGGGGAUGACGGUCUUCGGAUUGUAAACUCCUUUCAGUAGGGACGAAGCGAAAGUGACGGUACCUGCAGAAGAAGCACCGGCCAACUACGUGCCAGCAGCCGCGGUAAUACGUAGGGUGCAAGCGUUGUCCGGAAUUACUGGGCGUAAAGAGCUCGUAGGCGGUUUGUCACGUCGUCUGUGAAAUCCUCCAGCUCAACUGGGGGCGUGCAGGCGAUACGGGCAGACUUGAGUACUACAGGGGAGACUGGAAUUCCUGGUGUAGCGGUGAAAUGCGCAGAUAUCAGGAGGAAC
rnacentral:rRNA from 1 species